UAGUUUACGCAGUGGCAGUAUCGUAGCCAAUGAGGUUAAUCCAAGGUGCGAUUAUUGCUAAUUAAUAUGUAGUUGUUGAAAA
rnacentral:snRNA from 1 species